rnacentral:rRNA from 1 species
CAGUCGCCACGGGAAUACGAAGGGUGCAAGCGUUACUCGGAAUUACUGGGCGUAAAGCGUGCGUAGGUGGUGGUUUAAGUCCGUUGUGAAAGCCCUGGGCCCAACCUGGGAAUUGCAGUGGAUACUGGAUCACUAGAGUGUGGUAGAGGACAGUGGAAUUUCCGGUGUAGCAGUGAAAUGCGUAGAGAUCGGAAGGAACAUCUGUGGCGAAGGCGACUACCUGGGCCAACACUGACACUGAGGCACGAAAGCGUGGGGAGCAAACAGGAUUAGAUACCCGGGUAGUCCCUGUCUCUUAUAC